rnacentral:rRNA from 1 species
GACAGAGGGUGCAAGCGUUGUUCGGAAUUACUGGGUGUAAAGCGCGUGUAGGCGGUGUGGUAAGUCGGAUGUGAAAGCCCCGGGCUCAACCCGGGAAGUGCACUCGAUACUGCCACGCUAGAGUAUCGGAGAGGUUGGUGGAAUUCUCGGUGUAGAGGUGAAAUUCGUAGAUAUCGAGAGGAACACCGGUGGCGAAGGCGGCCAACUGGACGAAUACUGACGCUGAGACUCGAAAGCGUGGGGAGCAAACAGG